GUGCUUAUUUCAGCAGCACAUAUACUAAAAUUAGAAUGAUACAGAGAAGAUUAGCAUGGUCCCUGCACAAGCAUGACAUGCACAUUUUUGAAAAAAUUAGAAGAGAA
ensembl:snRNA U6 U6 spliceosomal RNA